GGCAGGAUUGCUAUCCUAUGUUAAUAAUUGGGGUUAAUCCCUGGACUACUAUAAUUAUUAGGAUAGUUAUUUAAAAGAUGCUAAUCACUAUUUACACUAAUUAAGGGUUGGGAUAUUCUACUCACCACUAGUAAUAGGUUGUUUAAUAAAAGAAUUGUAAUAAAAGUGUACCAACUUAAAAGCUCACCUCCAGUUAAACAGUGUCAGCUUUUCCUUUGAUUAAGCCUUGCAUGUCAUUAUAUUUUCCGUCUGUACUUGUUGAGUUCGACGUGAACUCACCCUUGCUAUUCCCCCACACCCCCAGUGUGUAGUAAAGUGCUGCUCAGAAGAAGGAUAAAGAUAUCGUGAAGUUUUCUAGAAGCUUGUUAGAAGUGCUUGGCGUACGGAGCCCCCCAGUCAACCGUCCCUGAGAAGAAUGGAGCCUAAGAAGUUUAGCUACUGUUUCCGCGUACUCUGAUGUUUGUAAGUGUUAAUAUAAAUAUGUUUUCCGCUAUAUAUAACAUUGUUUCUGAUAUUUCUAUUCUUUAGUUAUAUGUGUGGACUUCCUGGGCACACAUAUGACGACUCUGGUUUAUUUUUAAAAGCCAGGGUGUGACAAUGCACCAUUGUGUUGCUUCUUGUCCAGUGAAAAUGAGUCAUCUCUCCUCAAGAUGGUAACGGGGAAUUUCUUGUCGGAUAUAGGUCUUCCAUCCCUGUUCCCGUGGGGGAAUUUUUCCCAUCCCCAUCUCUGUGAAAGCUCACGGGAGAUGUUCCUCCCCAUCCCCGAACCCAAGCAGGGAAAUCAUCCCCGACGGGGUCCCUGUCCUUGAAUAAAUAAGUACUUGAAUUAACAAUUCAAAAGAAGAAAUGUGCAACUACAAAACACAUCUUGCAACAACAUGAGAUAAGAUUGCUUAGUUUAUAAAUCAAAACUCCCUUUCUUAACAAAAUUGCAAAAAAUGAAAAAAAAACUAACAAUUCCACUAGUGCUUGCGUGGAUGAGGAUCUGUGCUUAUGUCAGGCAAGAGCCACCUUAGUGCUUCUAUUGUCCCCAACGAGGAUGAGAAGCUGUAGUAGAGAGUGGAGAGUGGAGAUGCAAGAUAGAUCUUCUUGCAGAGCAAGUACGAGGCAACACUACAUCAGCAC
rnacentral:lncRNA from 1 species